CCCUAGCCCUGAUGGGAACGGCAUCCUUUUGUAGUGGGGUUCACUGCAAAAGAUAUAGUGGACAGCAGGAAUGAGC
rnacentral:sRNA from 1 species